rnacentral:rRNA from 1 species
CGCUGGCGGCAUGCCUAACACAUGCAAGUCGAACGGUAACAGAUAAGAUGAUCUCUUCGGAGUGAAUCUUUGCUGACGAGUGGCGGACGGGUGAGUAAUGCUUGGGAAUCUGCCCAAUAGUGGGGGAAAACUCGGGGAAACCCGGGCUAAUACCGCAUAAUCUCUACGGAGGAAAGAGGGCCUCUACAUGUAAGCUCUCGCUAAUGGAUGAGCCCAAGUCAGAUUAGCUUGUUGGUAAGGUAAUGGCUUACCAAGGCUACGAUCUGUAGCUGGUCUGAGAGGACGACCAGCCACACUGGGACUGAGACACGGCCCAGACUCCUACGGGAGGCAGCAGUGGGGAAUAUUGCACAAUGGGCGCAAGCCUGAUGCAGCAAUGCCGCGUGUGUGAAGAAGGCUCUAGGGUUGUAAAGCACUUUCAAUAGAGAAGAAAAGCUUGAAAUUAAUACUUUCAAGCCUUGACGUAACCUAUACAAGAAGCACCGGCUAAUUCCGUGCCAGCAGCCGCGGUAAUACGGGAGGUGCGAGCGUUAAUCGGAAUUACUGGGCGUAAAGCGAGCGUAGGCUGUUAAUUAAGUCGAAUGUGAAAUCCCCGGGCUCAACCUGGGAACUGCAUCCGAAACUAUUUAACUAGAGUAUGGGAGAGGAAAGUAGAAUUUCCGGUGUAGCGGUGAAAUGCGUAGAUAUCGGAAGGAAUACCAGUGGCGAAGGCGGCUUUCUGGAACAAUACUGACGCUGAGGUUCGAAAGCGUGGGGAGCAAACAGGAUUAGAUACCCUGGUAGUCCACGCCGUAAACGAUGAGAACUAGAUGUUGGGAGGAUUGGCCUCUCAGUGUCGCAGCUAACGCAAUAAGUUCUCCGCCUGGGGAGUACGACCGCAAGUGAA